UCAUGACCUGGAUCAAAGACAGACUCUCAACUGACUGAGUCACCCAAGUGUCCCGGAACUCUACUGCUUUUGCAAGUUUUUACUUGAAACUAGAACUUAUCUGAAGUUUCCAAAUCUAUGUUGAAAGGAAGAGGAUUCUGAAAGCCCCUGACUUUUUAAGGAACAUGGCAAAUAACAAGUGUGACUGUGAAGUGAACCUAUGACUGGAAACUGAAGCCAGAAUCUCUGCAUUCCUUGCAAGUACCCAUGGUUCCUUUAAUUAUACUCCGGGCUUGUAAACAGGAAAGUGUUUCACAGAUGUAGAAAAUCCAAGAGCUAAUAUGCUCCUUUUCUGCCAUAUGGAAAAGAUAAAUACCAGAACCUAAAAUAUCAGAGUAGAAGAGAAAUAAGAAUGAAACUCUUUGAACACUGACCAUGGAGGAAAUACUUAUGAAGUAUGUUCAAAGGUGUUUGACUUUUUUGUUAUUGUUAUUAAAUUAGUGAUCACAUCAAAAGUAC